rnacentral:lncRNA from 1 species
GAUCUGACGGCUGGUCGCAUUCACGUGAACACACAGUGUGCACUCACUUUGCUGUCAGAAAACCCAUAUGUCUGAGAUUUAUUACAGAAGGCUCAACCCCAGGCUUGAGAGUUUGGACUCUGGGCAACAGGAGAGCCUCUGCCAUUGGACUCCACACAAGAGGCGUAUGCUUAGUCCCUACUGUGUGUCCAGCGCUGUCCAGGCCCUGGGGACACAGAGAUACAGCAGACCCAGUCCCAGACCCUCGACCCACAGCCACAGCCUAACAUGCAGGCCUGUGAGGGAGACGUCCGCUGGUCACUGGGGGAAACGCAGAGGAGGGAAUGUUUCCUCUGGGACUUAAAGGAUGAAGAGGAGUUCUCUCAGCUGAUCACAGGGGAAGGGAGCUCCUGCCACAGGGCUGAUGUCAAUAAAAGCAGAGUGAGAAAAUGCAUGAUCAGGGCGCGUCCACAUGCUGGGGUGGUGGGUGUGUGGAGAGACCAGCCGUGGGCUCCGGGGUUUGGAGCGGACCCUGCAGGGACGGGGACACCACCACGUACUGACUUGAUGAAGGGCCCUAAAGGUCCCUCCUGCCCUCACCUGCUCUGUUCGACUGCUGGUGGUGACGAGGUGGGCCCUGUGCUGGACAAGGAAGCCUUGGCCUGGUUCCAGGAGAGCUGUCUGUGGACAAGUAGUAACAAGGGCCCCAAACAGCUGCCAGGCAUCGAGCAGGGCUCACAGGUGGAGUUGGGGGAAGAGGCAGGCUCGCCUAGGGCUGAGGACUGAAGACGUCUCCUCCAAUUCCAACACCUGCCCCCCUUUUUGUAUCGCUAGGCUAAAAUGAGAUGGGAGCAUUUCUGGUUUCCGGAAUGAGCUGGCCUCUCUCUCAUCCCAGGUCCCACCACAUCCCUCAUGCCUCACUCACAUCUUCCUCAGUCAACAGGUUUCAGGCCACAAAUCACCUCCUCCAGGAAGCCCCCCCUGCCUCCCACACCCCUGACGAGGUAGCUGCCUCUCCGACUCCUAGCUUCCCCUGAAGUCCUCAUCAUCCGGUGUUGCCGUCUCCUGGUUAUGUAGCUGUGUCUCCCACCAGGCUUCUCCAAGACAUCCUGAGGGCAGAGAUGGCCUCUUGCCAGUUGCAUGAUGUGUUCCCAGCACCUAGAAUGG